UUCCGGUUGAUCCUGCCGGAGGCUACCGCUAUUGGAGUUCGAUUAAGCCAUGCGAGUCCAGAGCUUUCGGAGCUCGGCGUACCGCUCAGUAACACGUGGGUAACCUAACCUAUGCAGGGGAAUAACCUCGGGAAACUGAGAAUAAUGCCCCAUAGUCCACUACGCCUGGAACGGUGAGUGGAUGAAAGCUCAGGCGGCAUAGGAUGGGCCUGCGGCGUAUCAGGUUGUAGGGGGUGUAAAGUACCCUCUAGCCCUCUACGCGUACGGGUGUUGGGAGACAUAGCCCGGAGAUGGAUUCUGAGACACGAAUCCAGACCCUACGGGGUGCAGCAGGCGCGAAAACUUGGCAAUGCGAGCAAUCGUGACCAGGGAACUCCAAGUGGCUGGGGUAAGACCCAGUCUUUUCAGAACUCUUCAAAGGUUUUAGAAUAAGGGGUGGGUAAGGACGGUGCCAGCCGCCGCGGUAAUACCGGCGCCUCAAGUGGUAGUCGCUUUUAUUGGGCCUAAAACGUCCGUAGCCGGUUUGGUACAUUCGUGGGUAAAUCAACUCGCUCAACGAGUUGAAUUCUGCGAGGACGGCCAGACUUGGGACCGGGAGAGGUGUGGGGUACGCUCAGGGUAGGGGUAAAAUCCUGUCAUCCUGAGCGGACCACCUGUUGCGAAGGCGCCACACUAGAACGGAUCCGACGGUCAGGGACGAAGCCUAGGGGCACGAACCGGAUUAGAUACCCGGGUAGUCCUAGGUGUAAACGCUGUGGACUUGAUGUUGGGGGUGCUCCGAGCACUCUCAGUGUCGAAGCGAAGGUGAUAAGUCCACUGCCUGGGAAGUACGGUCGCAAGGCUGAAACUUAAAGGAAUUGGCGGGGGAGCACCGCAACCUGAGGAUUGUGCGGUUUAAUUGGAGUCAACGCCGGA
rnacentral:rRNA from 1 species